GACGAACGCUGGCGGCGUGCUUAACACAUGCAAGUCGAACGGAAAGGCCCUGCUUUUGUGGGGUGCUCGAGUGGCGAACGGGUGAGUAACACGUGAGUAACCUGCCCUUGACUUUGGGAUAACUUCAGGAAACUGGGGCUAAUACCGGAUAGGAGCUCCUGCUGCAUGGUGGGGGUUGGAAAGUUUCGGCGGUUGGGGAUGGACUCGCGGCUUAUCAGCUUGUUGGUGGGGUAGUGGCUUACCAAGGCUUUGACGGGUAGCCGGCCUGAGAGGGUGACCGGCCACAUUGGGACUGAGAUACGGCCCAGACUCCUACGGGAGGCAGCAGUGGGGGAUAUUGCACAAUGGGCAGAAGCCUGAUGCAGCAACGCCGCGUGCGGGAUGACGGCCUUCGGGUUGUAAACCGCUUUCGCCUGUGACGAAGCGUGAGUGACGGUAAUGGGUAAAGAAGCACCGGCUAACUACGUG
rnacentral:rRNA from 1 species